UUUAGGAAAGUAAAAUUAAUUAAGGAGCGUCCUAAAGAGACUAACGUAUUGUUAUUUUGGGAAGAGGCCGUGAAAAUUCACUAAGGGGGCAACUCCAUGUCUAUCCAAUUAUUAUGUCCUAUUAUUGAGGGCCCUGCAAUUUGUAAUUUACUGUUGUGAGGCACGCCUCCUUUAUUUUAAGGAUAUCCUGAAGUGACUACAUUUUUAUUUUAAUUCGUCUCUAAAAUAAAGAAAUAAAAAUCCUAAUUAAUUUACAUGCUUGCGAGUUCGGGGCUUCUUAUUGUCAUCAUUAGAUUUAUGCUAGCGAUUAAUAAAAAUGCACCUAAACUCGAAAGACGAAAAUUGCCUCAUGUCUUAUUUAUAAACGAGCUACAAAAGCGGAUAUGCGUACAAGAUUGAUAAAGUAUUGAAAAUGAAACAACCAUUCCAAAAUUGAUUUAAACUAAUAUUUCUAACAUGGAUUUAGACUAACGAAAUUAACAACUAGAAAGUAUUAUUAACAUGAAUGCAAAUAUUUGACCUAUGUGAUGCCUAACGGAAUCAAGUGCUACAUGCUUAAGCCAUGUUCCUACAAGUUUCCAAAAUAAACUUUUUGUUCAAUGAGGCAAUUGUUGGGUAUUUGGAAAUAUCCUAAAGAGCCUAACCUAUUUUUAAAAUACACUAUUUAACAAAUAGCACCGAAACUACAGAAUAUAGGUUCUACAACCUCAAUCCAUUUUUACUAAGCAUAUGAGGGUGGAAAUUUAUAACUAAACUACUACGAAUAUUGUUCAAUUAUACAUAGCCCACACUUACAUGAUUCUAAUAAGAUACACGAGCUAUCAUAUAUGUACAACCUAAUAUCCAAUAUACCAAACUAAAAUAAAUUCAAAAGAAACAACUUCAACUUCUUCAUUUCUAUAUUCACACUUUAACUUUCAGUUUACAAGAAACCUGUAUAUAAAUGUGUGUACCUGGUAUUUGGAAAAGCAAAGAGAAGAGUAAGAUCAAUAUGAGCAGUAGUAGCACAACUCAGUGACAAACCAAUUCAGCAACGAUAACAGAGGUCAGCGCACUUAGAAAACCAGUUUGUAAUUUUCAGAAAAACCAAACCGAUAUACCAGAAACCCAGGAAUGAUACCAAAAUAAAAAUAGUACCAAAAACAGAAACAGAAUGUAUUCAGAAAUGAGACAGGAUAGUAGAUUUUCUGAUUUCUGUUCUUUAGACUCCCAAAUAAAGACACUUGAACCUCAAUUAAACAGUAACAAACUGAUUCUGAUUUUCAAUCGUGAAAGAAAGUACUUCCUCAGUUUUAGACUUUCAAACUCUGGAAUUUUUAAGGUUAAAAAAAGCCCUAUUUAUUUCUGUUUAAAUUCUGAAAAUCUGCUCUCCAAAUUUCAGUCUCUAAUUAAGUUAAAACUCCUUCUAUUUAUAUUACCCCUCCAUUAGACCUGCCUUGCCUUAACUACCCCACCCAAAGUGCCAAAAUCUGCAUAUUUCCACUAAAAUUCCACUAAAAACCCACUAAGGAAUGUUUUUCCUACUUUCAGCCCUUAAAUCACUCCUUGUUCCCCAUUAUCACAUUAAACAAAUGGCAAUUAUAGACCUCAUUUCCCACUUUUCUAUUACACAUAAGGUUUUUAAGUAUCUCACUUUCCCACUAUUGCAUUAAGCAUAUUCCCUAACUUUUUCAUUCCCAAAUUACCCUUGGAACCUACUGUGAUUUACCCUAUAAUCCAUACUGUUCUACCUCACCCCUGUAGCCCAUCAUCUAUGAUCAAUUGAUCUAACACAAAAUUUAAUUACUGAUUAACCUAAACAAUUCUUAAUUAAUUAACGAAACACAAAGAACUACAUCUAGACUAAGAACACAUCAGCUAUAACCAACAUACUAGUACCAAAUUCACACAGAUUCAAUGGGGGAGACCAGAUGAAAAAUAAAAGAAGGGUAUCAAUCAGAUGAAACGAGUUGAUAAUGCAAGCAGAAUUGAAGAUCAAUUAUACGUUCAAGCAAUUAGCAGGCUUGUUCUUAAUCACAAAAUUAGAACAGGAGGAAGCAAAUCUACUGGCAUGAACUUAGUUAUUGCCAUGUUAUUCUAACAUUCUAACAUGAGAAACUGAUUGAUGACAUGGAUUCAAUCGGUCACACAGAUCAUGACAGAUACAAUUAACAACGAAACACAUAUUGAACGGGAAGCAAAGCUAUUGGCAUGAACUUAAUUAUUGCCAUGUUAUUCUAACAUUCUAACAUGAGAAACUAAUUGAUGACAUGAAUUCAAUCGAUCACACAAAUCAUGACAGAUACAAUUAACAACAAAACAAAUUAAACAGACUACCAAAGUGAUUCCAAUGAUUUUGGACAAUACAAAGAACUCAUGAAACUGACUAUUCGAUGACAUUUCAAAUCGAUUAUAUAGCUCAAACACACACUUAUCAAUGGACAGAAUAACACUCGACCAAAUAAAAGGUCAAAGAGGAGAAGAUGAACAGAAUCAAUCGACAGAGAUUGAAAAAUCAAUACAACAGAUUUUAAACAAAUAAACCUAUGCUAAUAACACAAAAAGAACAAAAGAAAGGGAAAGUUACCUUAUAAACUCAAAAUCAGACGACCACAUGAUUUGAACCCUAGACUCGAACUUGGAUUUUUUUAGGUCGAACAGACUUUAAUCGAAGCGUUCUCGACUGCGAACACCUCGAUUAAAGUCGAUUAGAACCCAACUCCUCUUUUAAUUUGGAUGGAUUCCAUGAUUUAAGGUUUUUAGGGUUCUUAUGUAUGAUUUGGGACUCGAAGGGUUCUACCUAGAUUCGAACGGAACCAAUGUUGUUUAGGGUAUGGAGGAGGUUAGGGGAGUGUCGGGUGUGAGUUUGGAAUGGAUUUGGGUAGGUAUCCGUUUGGCUCGAAUCUUCAUUUGAAGAUUCAAGAAGAUGGAUAAUGAUUUGAGCCAAACGGUUACCAUAUUCAGAACGGGGGUGGUUAGAUGGUCUUAUAGUGUUGGUUUGGUGACCGGCGACAUUGUUUCCGCCGGGUUUUAGGCGGAGUAAUCUUAUGGUGGCUAGGGUUUGACCCUAGGUCGUCUCUGAGUGAGAGAGACGAAGAACAGUGGUGAGGGGGGGUGUUUGAUUUAGGGGGUUGGAUUA
rnacentral:lncRNA from 1 species